UGGAAGUUGUGGUAAACGGCACAAUGUCA
rnacentral:piRNA from 1 species